AAGCUGUAAUCAUUAUGAUAACACGGUUAAUUACCUAGAAAUAUAUAACUUAGAUGUAUUUAUUCGAUCGAUCCUUAUCAGCUUCUGAUUAGUUUAUUCAUCCUUUUCCUAAUAGUACAAUUCCUAUUAUCAGUUCGCGGUAAGAGGCUGCAUUUAUUGAUUUCCAAUCUCAAUAAAAGCAGCCAACCGUUCUGAGACUGACAUUCAGUUCAUCUUUGAUUCUUCACGACCAAACCAUGAAGUCCUUCGUAGCUGUUGUUUUCCUAGUAUUUGGAGUUCUGCUCCACCAGUCCCAGGGUGUUGCCUACACCGACGAAGAGCACCUCAACUUCCGCCAGAAAUGUUCGAAAAUCCUUCAAAUCUCCCCCGAUACGAGACAGGAAGUAACUAAAAAGAACUUCUUGAACGACAAUCAGGAGAUGAACUGCAUGAUUCGGUGCGUCGGUAUCCUGUCUGGAUUCUACGAUGACGAAACCGGUACCAACUGGGAUCAGGUAGCCAGCGAGUUGGAAAACAAGCCUGAGAACUACGAUGAGCAUCGACAGGCUACGGCUGCUUGCAUCGAAGCUAUACCAAAGGAAGAAUAUGCAUCAGACGUUUGUAAGAAAGCAUACGUGAACUUCCGCUGUCAUAGCAAAUCUAUCAGAGCAAUUAGAGCUAGAGCUCUGGUCAACCAAGAAUAAAGAUGUUUUUCGUGGUGGAAUCAACAAGUAAGACAUUUCAAAUUUAACCCAUUAACGCAUAAGGUUUUUUACAAUUGAGAAAUGUCAAUGAAUUUUGGCUCGUGAAAUAAGGUAAAUAAA